GAUGAACGCUGGCGGCGUGCCUAAAACAUGCAAGUCGUGCGGUAACAGGGAGAAGCUUGCUUCUCUGCUGACGAGCGGCGGACGGCUGAGUAACGCGUGGGAAUCUGCCCCGAAGUGAGGGAUAACUGCCCGAAAGGAUGGCUAAUACCGCAUAUGGUCUACGGAUUGAAGAAGCAAUUCGCUUCGGGAGGAGCCCGCGUAAGAUUAGCUAGUUGGGGAGGUAAUGGCUCACCAAGGCGACGAUCUUUAACUGGUUUGAGAGGAUGAUCAGUCAGACUGGAACUGAGACACGGUCCAGACUCCUACGGGAGGCAGCAGUUAGGAAUAUUCCACAAUGGGGGCAACCCUGAUGGAGCAACGCCGCGUGGAGGAUGAAGGCCUUCGGGUUGUAAACUUCUUUUCUAUGCGAAGAAUAUGACGGUAACAUAGGAAUAAGGGUCUGCUAACUACGUGCCAGCAGCCGCGGUAA
rnacentral:rRNA from 1 species